rnacentral:rRNA from 1 species
GAUGAACGCUGGCGGCGUGCUUAACACAUGCAAGUCGAACGGGAAACCUUUUAUUGAAGCUUCGUCAGAUUUAGCUGUUUUCUAGUGGCGGACGGGUGAGUAACGCGUGGUUAACCUGCCUUAUACAGGGGGAUAACAACCAGAAAUGGUUGCUAAUACCGCAUAAGCGCACAGGACCGCAUGUUCCGGUGUGAAAAACUCCGGUGGUAUAUGAUGGACUCGCGUUGGAUUAGCUAGUUGGCAGGGUAACGGCCUACCACGGCGACGAUCCAUAAACGGCAAGAGAGGGUGAACGGCGACAUUGGGGCUGAGACACGGCGCAGAAUCCUAGGCGAGGCAGGAGUGGGGAAUACUGCCAAAUCGCGGAAACCAAGAUGCAGCGACGGCGCGUGAAGGAAGAAGUAUCUAGGUAUGUAAACUUCUAUCAGCAGGGAAGAUAGUGACGGUACCUGAAUAAGAAGCACCGGCUAACUACGUG